UACGUAGGGUGCAAGCGUUGUCCGGAAUUAUUGGGCGUAAAGCGCACGUAGGCGGCUUAGCAAGUCGGAAGUGAAAUCCCACGGCUCAACCAUGGAAGUGCUUUCGAAACUGCUGAGCUUGAGUACGAAAGAGGAUCGCGGAAUUCCCGGUGUAGAGGUGAAAUUCGUAGAUAUCGGGAGGAACACCAGUGGCGAAGGCGGCAUCCUGGACCGAUACUGACGCUGAGGAGCGAAAGCCAGGGGAGCAAACGGG
rnacentral:rRNA from 1 species